AAACUUUCAACAACGGAUCUCUUGGUUCUCGCAUCGAUGAAGAACGCAGCGAAAUGCGAUACGUAAUGUGAAUUGCAGAUAUUCGUGAAUCAUUGAAUCUUUGAACGCACCUUGCGCCCUUUGGUAUUCCAAAGGGCAUGCCUGUUUGAGCGUCAUU
rnacentral:rRNA from 1 species